rnacentral:rRNA from 1 species
AGUCGAACGAUGAUCCCUGGCUUGCUGGGGGGAUUAGUGGCGAACGGGUGAGUAACACGUGAGUAACCUGCCCUUGACUCUGGGAUAAGCCUGGGAAACUGGGUCUAAUACCGGAUACGACCGUCCCACGCAUGUGGUGGUGGUGGAAAGCUUUUGCGGUUUUGGAUGGACUCGCGGCCUAUCAGCUUGUUGGUGGGGUAAUGGCCUACCAAGGCGACGACGGGUAGCCGGCCUGAGAGGGUGACCGGCCACACUGGGACUGAGACACGGCCCAGACUCCUACGGGAGGCAGCAGUGGGGAAUAUUGCACAAUGGGCGGAAGCCUGAUGCAGCGACGCCGCGUGAGGGAUGACGGCCUUCGGGUUGUAAACCUCUUUCAGUAGGGAAGAAGCGUAAGUGACGGUACCUGCAGAAGAAGCGCCGGCUAACUACGUGCCAGCAGCCGCGGUAAUACGUAGGGCGCAAGCGUUAUCCGGAAUUAUUGGGCGUAAAGAGCUCGUAGGCGGUUUGUCGCGUCUGCUGUGAAAGACCGGGGCUCAACUCCGGUUCUGCAGUGGGUACGGGCAGACUAGAGUGAUGUAGGGGAGACUGGAAUUCCUGGUGUAGCGGUGAAAUGCGCAGAUAUCAGGAGGAACACCGAUGGCGAAGGCAGGUCUCUGGGCAUUAACUGACGCUGAGGAGCGAAAGCAUGGGGAGCGAACAGGAUUAGAUACCCUGGUAGUCCAUGCCGUAAACGUUGGGCACUAGGUGUGGGGGACAUUCCACGUUUUCCGCGCCGUAGCUAACGCAUUAAGUGCCCCGCCUGGGGAGUACGGCCGCAAGGCUAAAACUCAAAGGAAUUGACGGGGGCCCGCACAAGCGGCGGAGCAUGCGGAUUAAUUCGAUGCAACGCGAAGAACCUUACCAAGGCUUGACAUGAACCGGUAACGCCUGGAAACAGGUGCCCCGCUUGCGGUCGGUUUACAGGUGGUGCAUGGUUGUCGUCAGCUC